GACAGUUAUUGAAAUUUAUCCUAAGGAUGUUGACCAUAAAUGUUAGCCUAGGUUUUUGUUAGAACUUUUAAGUAUCCUAACAAGGAUGUUCUAUCUAGCAUAAAUGAACGUCUUUCUAGUUGAAUGCGAGAAAGAAUGUUGGCCAUACAUGAGGGCCUAAGGGUUUGUUGAAGUUUUAAAGGUUUGUUGAUGUUUUAAGUAUGCUAAUAAAUAGAUAUAUUUUUGAACAUUCUAUAGAGAUCAUUUUGGGCCCAAUUUUAUGAAUUUCAAACCACACUAUGACAUAUCCUUGCGAUGCCAUAGUUUCAAAUAUCCCAUCUUUUAGGAUGGCCAUCAUAUACUGUAAAAUUCACAUUAUUGAUAGAUAAUAAAUAUCCAUCAAAAGUUGAGUAAGAAAAAAGGGCAGUCAUAUAUGUAUAAGACAUCAAAAUAUGCCUUAAAAAUCUCUAAAUGAAUGAAUUGAUUUUCAAAUUCUAGUUAAACAAUUUGAAUGAGAUUUGUAAUGUAUAGGUCACGUUUUGUCGGUUAAAUUCAGGAAUGUACUUAGAAUGUUAUUAGAAAAAUGUUUUACUUGAAAUACACCUUUCUAGUGGCAUAUAAAAUUAACCUUCAAACUAAUUCACCCAGAUUCAUGAGUGUUCUGUAAGAGAAGAUCAAGCUGGAGUACUCUAUGAAAAUGAAUGAGAAGAAAGUUAAUAGACAGAGGUAGUAAGGUCAUGAAAAGAUAGUUUCCAUGGUCAGAUCUCCAACCAACAAAAAGAUGCCUGUCUUAUGAUCUCCAUUCAAAUAAUUUAAACUAAAAAUAAAAUCCCAAUCCCUCCAUUUCAUCAUCUCCCUAACCCAAUGCGUCCUAACCAAAUUUAAAUGAUUAUAUAAUAUUUACAAUGUGGCAUUCUUUCCACACGAAGUAAGAAACAAGCAAGCAUGUGAAGCAGAUAUAGACACGUCCAUACCAUUUUUAUUGGUAAUGCCAACCAGAUGUGAACAAAAAGUCUCCUUCCAGUUUAUCACCCUUGUUCUUCACUUAUUAAUAUUGUUGAUCUGUGAUAAUUUUUCCUUAACAUUUCUUUCUCUCUAACUAACUAAGUUGGUUGGUAGCUCUAAGACAGUAAAUUUCAAAUCAAACAUUCAAACUUCCACCCUUACAGGCAGAAUAAGAGAUUAAUGUCUGAAGGCUUAUUUUUUUCUGAAACAAUAUAUACACAUUAUCUCCAUUCCUGAUUUUGCAGUUAUAUAUAAAGUGAGAAGAUGUUGGAUGGAAUAGUUCAAUAUAAUGGCACCUAUAACAUUGAAAUGAAACAGCAAAACAGUAAUUUUAACAGAGUGUAUUCACUUCCAAAUCUAAUGGAAGCGCAUUCAAUGAACUUCUUUGAGGACUUCCAUUAAAUGCAUUUGGCGACGUCAAGGCAAGUGCCAAAUUCUUAUCACAAAACGAAAUCCGUGGCUUCACUUGCACAUUUUCUCGAGCAGGUUAUAUUCAACUUUCCGUUUGCAUGUCAUUGUUUGAUACCAAUACACAUUCAGCUAAAAAAUUGCUAACAUCCAAUACCUCCGAGCAAACGUCAACUACUUUAUCAAGUUCAUCACGGAAUGUUUCCUUGUCCUUUGACAGUUUCUUGUAGAGCUCAGCCCUAAACUUCAGGGUCUCAGAUUUUGCGAAUUCGGGAAUGGGGUCCGGGUAAAUGUACUUCUGGUGAGGGGCAUUGGCUGCAAGACGGUUUCUAGAGAUGGAUUUUGCAGAGAGGAUUGGGAUGGAGAGAGCAGGAGGAUGGAGGAUUAGGGAAGCAUUGGCAUUGCGAAGGACAGGAGUGAUUGAGGUUGAAAUUUUGGCGGGACGGAGCAGAGGCAAAGGGAGAGCGUAUAGACGGGCCAUGUGCUGCAGUUCC
rnacentral:misc_RNA from 1 species